UCAUAGUGAUGACUGCUAUGCUAAUAUUGAGAAAACUUUAGGUUUUCGCUGAGUAAAACUCCAUUGUACUUCUCACUUUAUACACUGAAUGAU